AAAUACAGCCAUAUCACCCUGCAGCCCAAGACUGGUUGCCCACUGAAGCUAAGCAGGGUUGAGCCUGGUCAGUACCUGGAUGGGAGACCUCCUGGGAAAACUAGGUUGCUGUAGGAA
ensembl:rRNA 5S_rRNA 5S ribosomal RNA